CGACCUCAGAUCAGGCGGGACUACCCGCCGGAUUUAAGCAUAUUAAUAAGCGGAGGAAAAGAAAACAACCGUGAUUCCCUUAGUAGCGGCGAGCGAACCGGGAAAAGCCCAUCGCCGAAUCUCGCCGCGCACUUUUGUGUCGCGGCACGUAUGAGAGUUGUGGCGUACGGGCCGGCCUCGUUGCCGGGGCGCACGUGACGGUCCAAGUCUCCCUUGAACGGGGCCAUGGCCCGCAGAUGGUGCCAGGCCAGUAGAGGCCGUCACAGCGUUCCGGGAUCGGACCGCGCCUUCGAGUCGGGUUGCUUGAGAGUGCAGCCCGAAGCGGGUGGUAAACUCCAUCUAAGGCUAAAUACGGCCACGAGACCGAUAGUUUACAAGUACCGUGAGGGAAAGUUGAAAAGAACUUAUGAAGAGAGAGUUCAUAAGAACGUGAAACCGCUCGGUUGUAAACGGACAGAGCUCGCGAAUCCCCGCCGGGCGAAUUCACGGUCGGUCUAACCGCCGGCCGGAUCUUUCGCUCGGUUAGCGGACGUCGCGACCCGUUGGGCGCCGGCCGAAUGGCCCGGGUGACGUUCGUCGCGUCGGUCGCGUUUCGGCGUGACCGUUCGCGCCGAGCCCCGGUGCUCAUGGUCGGCUCGCCCGACGGCAAGAACCGUCGACGCGGCCCCGUCGCAGGCGGGGUCCCGUCGGUCGGCGACGUGUUUCGAGCUACUUUCCGACCCGUCUUGAAACACGGACCAAGGAGUCUAACGUGUGCGCGAGUCAACGGUGAUCUUACGAAAAACCACGUUUGGCGCAAUGAAAGUGAACCGUUUACGGUGCGGACGAUGGCCUAGCGACCGAACCCACCGGCGUUCAAAGUCGCGCUGGUCCGCAGUCCGGGGGCGUCUCCGCCAAGUCGGCUUCGGCCGGCUGGGGGCGCACCCUUAGCGCACACGUUGGUACCCGAAAGAUGGUGAACUAUGCCUGGCCAGGAUGAAGUCAGGGGAAACCCUGAUGGAGGUCCGCAGCGAUUCUGACGUGCAAAUCGAUCGUCUGAGCUGGGUAUAGGGGCGAAAGACUAAUCGAACCAUCUAGUAGCUGGUUCCAUCCGAAGUUUCCCUCACGAUAGCUGGCGCCGAUGUGUCCCGCCCGUUCGCGGGCGUACGGACGCCGGUGGGACUCCGCGCUGUACGGCGCGGUAACAACACGCUCGUAACACGGAAGGAUGUCUCAUACCGGUAAAGCCGAAUGAUUAAAGGACAUUGGGG
rnacentral:ncRNA from 1 species